UUUGCUUUCUUGCCCAUUUGCUCAGAAGAUGUGUCGUUUCUGGUCUUGUCAGUUUAAUAUCUGAUAUUUCCCUUUCCUGGGAUCAUAAAUUUAAUAGAUUUAUGGAGCAGAAGGAUGGACUAGGGGCUUGCUCUGUCUAUUCCAUGCAUCAACCAGGUAGUGCAAUACCUCCAGGAAUUUAGGGAUAAAA